ACAGGCUCUGGUUUGGACUGUGUUCCUGUCGUCUAAAUAAACCUUCUGUGUUACUGGCUGCCUGAGAGUCCUGGUGAAAUGCAGGAAGCCGGGGGCGCAGGGCCUGGUUCCCCCCACCCGACUCCGUGACAGCUCCUUGUGUCAGCACUGUGCGGACUCACGAGGAUUGCUUGUGUCUGUGCACGGGGCUGUACGCCAUGGGCCGGGCCCAGCGAGCAAACUGCCACUGUCCAGUGUAACGUAGUGUAGACAGUGCAUGGUGGGACAGAAAUGAGAGCACGAGUGUGACGAUGUGGUUCUGGUGGGACCCAACUGAGAGUGCCAAUUCAGGACCAAUCGCUCAA